rnacentral:rRNA from 1 species
GCGAAGUGCGGAGUAGGAGCCGCGGUAGGACUAAGGGUUGAAGGUGUAAACGGAAUUACUGGGCGGAAAGGGUGGGGAGGCGGUUUUGUAAGCCAGAAGUGAAAUCCCCGAGCUUAACUUGGGAACUGCGUGUGGAACUACAAGACUAGAGGGUGUCAGAGGGGGGUAGAAUUCCACGUGUAGCAGUGAAAUGCGUAGAGAUGUGGAGGAAUACCGAUGGCGAAGGCAGCCCCCUGGGAUAACACUGACGCUCAUGCACGAAAGCGUGGGGAGCAAACAGGAUUAGAUACCCGAGUAGUC